UAGGGUUAGGGUUGGGCUUGGAGCUAGGAUUUUUCUGAGUGCAAUGAACCAACUCCCGAGUCUCUUGGACGUUCCUAAAAAAAUUUGAUUUUUUCCCAUAGGAAUGCAUGGGUUAGGGUUAGGGUUAGGGUUGGAGCUAGGGUUAGGGUUAGGGUUAGGGUUGGAGUUAGGGUUAGUGUUGGAGCUAGGGUUAGGGUUGGGCUUGGAGCUAGGAUUUUUCUGAGUGCACUGAACCAACUCCC